AUUAUCUUGAAAACUGUAUAUCACAAAGUCAUACUGAUUGGUCAUAACUAGUAGAUGACCCUAUUGAUUUUCAGGUCAUUAGGUAAAAGGUCAAGGUCACAGCAGCCUUAAAUGUCAGAAUGGUUUCCGCUGAUUACCUUGAAAACUAUUCAUCACAUAGUCUUCAUUUUUCACAUAUUGAUUGGUCAUAACUAGAAGAUGACCCCUAUUGAUUUUAAGAUCAUUAGGUCAAAGGUCAAGGUCACAAUUGCCUUAAAUGACAGAAUGGUUUUCGCUGAUUAUCUUGAAAACUAUUCAUCACAAAGUCUUCAUAUUUCACAUACUGAUUGGUCAUAACUAGCAGAUGACCCCUAUUGAUUUUGGGGUCAAAUGUCAAGGUCGCAAUUGCCUUAAAUGUCAGAAUGGUUUCCGCUGAUUAUCUUGAAAACUUUUCAUCACAAAUUCUUCAUAUUUCACAUACUGAUUGGUCAUAUGUAGUAGAUGACCCUAUUGAUUUUUUUGGUCACUAGGUCAAAGGUCAAGGUCACAGCAGCCUUAAAAGUAUAAGUUAAAUAGUAGAAAGAGCUAGAAGGGGGGCAUAUGUGUCGUUCGACAUUUCUUGUAAUAUGAUUUUUCUCUAUUUUAUAGAGUAACCUAUCUAAUAGUUUUUGGAAUGAAGGUCCAUGUUCAUAGUUUGACCUUGAUAAUUUGAGCCUGGAAAAAGUUUAAUAAUUAAGACCCUCAUCAUUCAAGUAUUUAAGAACAAUUGCCCUAAAAUAGAUCACCAAUCAUGUUUAAGGAGUCAAUGGUCAAGGUCAGUGGGGUCUUUAAUGUGAUAAAAAUAUAUCUGUGAAAAAUUAUCAUUUUUAUAUGCCCUAAAGAAUUUCGGGCAUAUUAUGUUUUACCCUGUGGUGUCCGUUCGUCCGUCCGUUAGCAAUUUGGUCUCCGGAGCAUAACUUAAGUUCCAUUUGGUCCACAAGAUUAAUAGUUCAUAGGAUGAUUGUUCAUAUUAGGUAGAAGACCCCUAUUGAUUUUAGGGUCACAAGGUCAAAGGUCAAGGUCAAUGUUACCUUAAAACUGAAAACAGUUUCCGGAACAUAACUUAAGUGCCAUUUGGCCCACAGUGUUCAAACUUCAUAGGAUGAUUGUCCAUAUUAGCUAGAAGACCCCUAUUGAUUUUGGGGUCACAAGGUCAAGCUCACUAUUACUUUAGAACUGAAAAUAGUUUCUGGGGCAUAACUUAAGUUCCAUCUGGCCCACAUUGUUCAAACUUCGUAGGAUGAUUGUCCAUAUUGGGUGGAAGAAUCCUAUUGAUUUUGAGGUCACAAGGUCAAAGGUCAUGGUCACUAUUACCUUAAAACUGAAAACAGUUUCCUGAACAUAACUUGAGUUCCAUUUGGCCCACAGUGUUCAAACUUCAUAGUAUUAUUGUCCAUAUUGGGUCAAAGACCCCUAUUGAUUUUGGGUCACAAGGUCAAAGUUUAAGGUCACUAUUACCUUAACAGUUCCGGAGUAUAACAUACCGGUAAGUAAGUUCCAUUUAGCCCACAAUAUUCAAACUUCAUAGGAGGAUUGUUAUUUAAAGGAGGUAAUACUUUAUUUAAUUCCCAUUCAUCUUUACUAAAAAAAAAAUCACUUUCGGGCAUAUAAUGCUCUGCCUAGUGGUGCUCUUGUUAUUUCAUUUCAUUACCUCCUUGAAAUGCCAAAGGGUGGCAUUACACUGAUUGGCAGAAGGUUAAGGCCACCUAGAAUGCCAAAGAGACUUUUUCUGGAAAAAAAAAAUGGGUAAUCGGGGCCUCAGCAAAAACUUCAUUUUGUGCUGUUGAUAUAGGUCAGUUCUUUGAAAACUGAAAUGAUUUUGGUGUUAGUUUGUUUAUGUACUUUUUAAUAUUUUAUGCAAGAUUGAAAAUAAGUAUAAAACAUUUUGUAUGUAAUAAAACAGAAACAGACUAAUUUAUUUUCACUAGAACUACAUGUAUUUUUUGUUGUUGUCAAUUGUUAGAAAGAGAUUGAAAUCUCAAAUGAUGAUGAAGAGCUAGAAAAUGUAGAGAGAUGAAAGGAAGGUUGCUUUUAGAUUUAGACAGGCAUUAGACUAACAUAGCCUUUAAUAUUUUGCAGCAAACAAGGAAAGGGUUCUUCAGCCAUCUCCCUAUUUGUGGCUGUCAACAGUGGUCGGCGAUGGCAGGCAUUUAACAUGGUUAGAUACAGCGAAUAGUGCCAAACAUUUUCUGAGGAAGAGAAAGUACAUAGGCAAAACAUUUUAUACGCAGACAUACUUUGAGAGGGAACUGUUUAUGCAUUAUUCAGGCCAGAAUCUGAAGAAGGCUAGAAGCCUUGGUGUUUGCGUAGGAGAAUGUAGACGUCAUCUUUUCCAACCAUUUUGUGAGACAGAAAUGGAGGCUUCAAAUAAAGGGGCUAAGAGCGGACAUUGAAGGAAAAGUAUAAAGUUUGUUGCACGUACAUAUUGUAUUGUUGAUAUGCCAUGACUGUGAUAGACAUUAUUGUUGUUUGAGAUUGAUUCUGAUUGUUUUUGAUCGGCUUGGUCUGAGGCUCUGUCUGGAAAAAAAAAAAAACGAAAAAAAAAAAGAAAGAUGUAAAUAACAGAUUUGUUUUGUAUUUGUCAUUUUUGCUCGACGUUUUUUGAAAAAAAGUAGAGGUAUUGUUAUAGACAUGUUGGUGUUGCCAUUGACGUUGCCGUCCGCAAACUUGUAUAUUGAUCAUAACUUUUUAAGUUCUUGGUGUAUUGUCUUCAUACUUGGCAACAAUAGUUCUCGGACCAAUAUCUUUUAGUAGACUAGACUACCCUUGACCUUCAUGUAUAAAUGACCUUGACCUUCAAGGUUAAAUGUCUAAAUUUUGCUUGUUUUUGGCUGAUUUUUGCUAUUAGUGGCUAUAACUUUUAUACUUUUAUAUGGAUUGCCUUCAAACUUAAACAUAAUAAUCUUUUAGGUUUGACCUUUAAGUUGACCUUCACUCAUAAAUGACCUUGACUUUGAAGGUCAAAUCAUUGAAAUUUUCAAUUUUUUGCUGUUACUUAGGCUAUAACUUUGUUAUUAUUGAAUGGAUUGUCUUCGUAUUGUAACAGAUCAUUCUUUAGGAUAAGGCCUUGAUGUAUAUCAAACUCAAAUUGACCUUGGCUCUUUUAUGACCUUGACCUUGAAGGUUAAAUCAUUGUAUUUUCACUGAUUUUGCUAUAAUUGACUAUAACUUUGUAACUAAUUGAUUAUCCUUAUACUCUGAAUUUUGAACAAGAUCUUUUAUAAGGUUGAACUGACCUUGACCUUGAGCUUUAAAUGACCUUUACUGUCAAGGUCAAAUUAUUAAAUUUUGGUUAAAUUGUCAUUAUUUUGUUAUUUAUGUAAGGUUUUGAUUUAAACUUGGACAAAACAAGACUUUCUACCAAACAAACAUAAAUGACCUUGACUGUCAAGGUCAAAUUAAUGAAAUUUUCUUCUUUUUUUUGUUAUUGGCUAUUAUACCUAUAACUUUGGUAUUUAUCAAUGGAUUGCCUUCAUAUCAAGACACAACAUCUUUAAGGUCCAGUCCUACAUGUACAUUACACUCAAAUUGCCCUUGGAUCAUGAAUGACCUUGACCUUAAAGGUCAAAUUGUUUUAUUUUCACUGAUUAUUGAUAUGUGACUGUAACUUUGUAAUUAAAAUCAGUGGAUUUUGUUUCUUACUUGAACAAAACAACCUUUUGGACAAGAUAUUUCUAAAGGCCGAACUGACCUUCAGAUCUUAAGCUCUAAAUGACUGUCAAUGUCAAAGUAUUGAAUUUUGGUUAUGUUGUCAUAAUUUUGUUAUGUAUGGAUUUGAUUCAUAUGUUGAGAAAACAUAUAUUUUCUUAACAUUGUCAUUUAUUUAUGGAAAGGAUUUAUACUUCAGGACAAAACAACAAGUGUUACUUAGACUGAUCUAUUAGAGUUUAAAAAAGGAAAAACUUAUUUCUUUCUUUUAAUUUAAUGAUUUGUUUCAACCGUUUAUUUGCUUUUAGAAAAAGAAAAAAGUCGAGGGUUGCUCCGACACGGUGGUGGCUCUUGUUGUAUCACUGAUACCUUAAGAGAUCACUUUUAGACUGUCUGUCACAGAACUUGUCUUGAGGAUCUUUCUGGACUUUUCUAUGCUAACAAGAUUAUUGUGUCGGAUUUCUUUGUCAAUUCUACAUAUAGAUAUUUAAAACUGAAGGAAUCUAAUGUUCAUUUUACGAAACAUUUUUGGUUGGAAAAUUCAUAUUAUGAAAACAAGAACAUUUUCAUUGCUUCAAACUUAUGGACGCUCCAUUGACUAAAGAUACUAUUAUUGGGUAAUUUUUGACUCGUUUGCCCAUUUCAUAAAAAAAAUUUGAGGGGGUUAAAGAUGACAGCUUGAGAAAAGUAAUACUAUUCAUAAUCACCUAUGGUACAUCAAAAUUAAGAAAACCCCCAAACGGUUUCUGAAAACAUGCCAGUACAGCUGAGCUUAAGUUUUCAUGGCUAUGACCAAGCGGUACUGAACACAAUUCGAAGAUAGCAUAAGUCCUCAUUCUUAUUGUUUGAAAGAGAUAUAAUUAUACAAUAAUGUAUAAUAAAUUUUGCCAAUGUAUCGUAGUAAAUUGUAAUAAAUUGCAAUUUUGACAUAUUUACGUAACAUUAUGAAAAGAUGGUAGGGAACACGCUGUUUUUAGCUCACCUGAGCAUAUGCUCAGGGUGAGCUAUUAGGAUCACUCUUCGACCGUCGUCUGUCGUCCGUCGUACGUCGUACGUUGUCCGUUCACACUUUUCAAACGACAUCUCCUCUGAAACCAUAAGGCAGAUCAUAAUGAAACUUCACAGGGAUGUUCCUUGUGUGAAGCCUUAACAAAGUUGUUCAAAGAAUUCCAUUCCAUGCAGAACUCUGGUUGCCAUGGCAACCAAAAGAAAAAACUUUAAACAUCUUCUUCUAAAAAACCCAAAGAGCUAGAGCUUAGAUAUUUGGCAUGAAACAUCUUCUAGUGAGUGUCUACCAAGAUUGUUCAAAUAAAAGCCCUGGGGUCAAAAUUGGUCCCGCCCCAGGGGGUCAUUGAUUUUCCCUAUAUGCAUAUAGUAAAAACUUAAAAAAUCUUCUUUUAAAGAACCCAAAGAGCUAGAGCUAAGAUAUUAAGCAUGAAAAAUCUUCUAAUGAGUGUCUACCAAGAUUGUUCAAAUAAAAGCCCUGGGGUCAAAAUUGGCCCCGCCCCAGGGGGUCAUUGAUUUUCCCUAUAUGCAUAUAGUAAAAACUUAAAAAAACUUCUUCUGAAAAACCCAAAAAGCUAGAGCUUAAAUAUUUGGCAUGAAACAUGUUCUUAUGAGUGUCUACCAAGUUUGUUCAAAUAAAAGCCCUGGGGUCAAAAUUGGCCCCGCCCCUGGGGGUCAUUGAUUUUCCCUAUAUGCAUAUAGUAAAAACUUUAAAAAAUCUUCUUUUAAAGAACCCAAAGAGCUAGAGCUAAGAUAUUAAGCAUGAAACAUCUUCUAAUGAGUGUCUACCAAGAUUGUUCAAAUAAAAGCCCUGGGGUCAAAAUUGGCCCCGCCCCAGGGGGUCAUUAAUUUUCCCUAUAUGCAUAUAGUAAAAACUUAAAAAAUCUUCUUCUAAAAAACCCAAAGAGCUAGAGCUUAGAUAUUUGGCAUAAAACAUGUUCUAAUGGAUGUCUACCAAGUUUGUUCAAAUAAAAGCCCUGGGGUCAAAAUUGGUCGGGCCCGGGCUGACAUUGAUUAAUUUCCUUAUAUGUGUAUAGCAAAAACUUAAAAGUCUUCUUUGAAAAAACCGGAAUAGCUAGAGUUUAGAUAUUAAGCAUGAAACAUUUUCUAGUAAGUGUCUACAAAGAUUGUUCAAAUAAAAGCCCUUGGGUCAAAACUGGGCCUGCCCCAGGUGUGUCAUUGUUUUUAACUAUAUGUGUAAAGAAAAAAACUUGACCAGCUAGACCUUAGAUGUUAAGCAUGAAAUAUCUUCUAAUGGGUGUCUACCAAGAUUAUUCAAAUAAAAGCCCUGGGGUUUAAACUUGCCCUGCUCCGAGGGGCCUAUAUACAGGUGAGCGACUUCAGGGCCAUCAUGGCCCUCUUGUUUGCUGUUGUUUUCCAAUACAUGUAGUUCGAAAAUAAUUUGAAAAUUGAAUCAUACUUCUUUGUCAAAUGUACAGUUAUAUAAGGAAUUCAGACCCCCUUCUGCAAGGUCUCUGUGUACUUGCUUGUGAGGCUUACAUACAUACAUACAUAGAAAAUAUGACCCUAAGAGGUAAAUGUUUAGAUGAUGUACACGAAAUCGAGUCAUUUUUUUGUUCAAUCUUGAGAUUUUUUGAACGACAACAACAACAUUUUCACUGAUGUUUCCGAAGCGGUCAUUUUUAAGCCGCUCAAUUAAAUAUUCUAUGAAAUUGGGAAACAAGUUCAAAAUUAUAUGACAGUAUGCCUAGUCAAUGGAAAGUAAUUCUAUAGCAUUAAAAUUGUCUUCUUUUUUUGCGUAAAAUAAAUAUAUACUGAACCAAAAAAGAAACUUUCGCAAAGUAUGUGCCAGUUGUUCAAGGGUACCACUUAGAUGUACACACUUAUAUACAUGUAGUAGCUUGUAAAACUCGUUUUGUUUGCAAAAUCGGU